rnacentral:rRNA from 1 species
GACGAACGCUGGCGGCGUGCUUAACACAUGCAAGUCGAACGGAAAGGCCCUGCUUUUGUGGGGUGCUCGAGUGGCGAACGGGUGAGUAACAAGUGAGUAACCUGCCCUUGCCUUUGGGAUAACUUCAGGAAACUGGGGCUAAUACCGGCUAGGAGCUCCUGCUGCAUGGUGGGGGUUGGAAAGUUUCGGCGGUUGGGGCUGGACUCGCGGCUUAUCAGCUUGUUGGUGGGGUAGUGGCUUACCAAGGCUUUGACGGGUCGCCGGCCUGAGAGGGUGACCGGCCACAUUGGGACUGAGAUACGGCCCAGACUCCUACGUGAGGCAGCAGUGGGGAAUAUUGCACGAUGGGCGGAAGCCUGAUGCAGCAACGCCGCGUGCGGGAUGACGGCCUUCGGGUUGUAAACCGCUUUCGCCUGUGACGAAGAGUGAGUGACGGUAAUGGGUAAAGAAGCACCGGCUAACUACGUG